AUUUCUUUGGGUGCAUUGAGUUCGUUCCAUGCCCCCCCUAUUUUCUCUCCCGCUCCAUCUCUGUUCGUACUUCCUCGCGUCGCGCUUCAUGCACGUUAGGGUUUUCUGAUUCUGUCCUAGUCCCUUUCGACAUUCGCGAAAGAAUUGCCGACGCCGCAGCCGAUGACACACCUCCACCUCCGCCUUUGCCACUUGUUGCAGAUAUAAUAAAGUGCAUGUUGAGAAGCCAAAGUUUUCCUAGAGAAAGAACAUAUUUGACCCAUCGUUUCUAUAAUCAUGGGUACUAAACAACUUCGUCAGGUUCGCUCGUAUGGAAUGGGCCCAACACUCUCUGCCUCUCCUUUUCCAAGGUUGUCCCAAGUUAGGGCAGCUUGGUUGGCAUUCCUACAAGAGAACGAACAGUUGAGGGAAGAAUUUGAAUUUAUCAUGAAUGAGAUUGCCCGACUCAGACAGGAAAUGGACGACCUUAGGAGGGUUUUGCUAAACAAUGCAAAUUGAAGACAAUUCAAAAAAUAUUUUGGCAAGGUUUUUAGAACUGUGCUGUACAUAAGAGCUACUUAGCCUGAGAUCUUUUAGCAGGGUGCUUGAAAAACUAAGCAAACCACUUGGCCAACUUUUUUUUUGUUUUUGUUUUUGUUGAAUGUGAUUGUACAUUGGCAUCUCUGAUUUCAUCUUCAAAGACAUUUUAGUUGGGUUGAUUUUCUUCACUUUACCUGCACUUAAUUAUUUAUUGGGAGAUAUAUCAAAAAGGUUUUGGCAAUUCCCUCUGUAUAUUUUGCCAGAUUUUUGAAAUUUGGUUUCAAAAAAUUUAGUACAUGAUAAAAUUCGGUA